AAUGCUCAGUGAGCUGCUCUGUGGUGCUUCCCAGAGUAACUACAGCAAAAUUAACCACCUCUGCCUGCAGAUGCACUCUAGCAUUUGGGUCAGAUUGUGCUUGUGUUGGACUGGUUUUGGAUCCAGAUCUCUCUGUUAUUUUUCUAUUUCCUUUUUUCUUUUUUUUUCAAGUUUGCAAACUGUGUCCUCAGUCAGCACUAACCACAGGGAGAAUUUCCACUUGGAAAGUACAGGCAAGUUUUUUUAGUGCUAUGCAGGCACUGGAAGGCUCAAUUUCGGCUGUAACAGGGGAAGGGCUGUUCAGUCCCCCCCUUGCUGACUGUCUAGGUCUGAAAGCUUAAAAAGGCCAGCUUAUUCCUCAAGUCCUAAUGUAACCCCGUGUAUGGCAUUUGCCCCAAGGCAGUGAAAUCCCAGCAACUUGAUACUUCAGGCUGUGACCUUUGAAGGGUUAAGGGAGGCCCAGCUGCAAUCGCCUUGAUGCUCGGUUAAAGCCAGGACAGCUGCACUUGUAAUAGUGCUGAGCUGGGUCCUUUGGGCUCUGCCAGACUGCUGGGACACGAGUAUCAUGCUCUCCGGUGGGACAUGGCCUUACAGAUGGAUCUCUUUACCUUCCUGAGCCACAGUAACUGUCUCUCCUGGUGGAACCUGCUGACUUUCCUGAGUUUGCUGUGAUUUAGAGCUGAUUUUUGCACAAGAAGGGAAGGCAGAGGAGAGGAGGGCUGGAAAGCCUUUUCUUGCAUGGAAGCAAAGCCGUCUGUGUCUGUCCGGCGGUGCUGGAAGGGCGGGCUGGAGCUGGAAGGAAUGCAGCCACGUCUUGGCGGAGGAGCUGGAGCGGGAGUUUCUGGCUGAGAGGGAGCGACUGGAAAGCAGGGAUUUAAUAGCUCAUGAAAGCGAGGGCCUUAGAGCCAUGCAGUGUCAGUGCUGGCUGUCUGCCUCCAUCGCUCCAUCCAUCCACCUGUGCAUUACCCAUCUGAUAUCCCCAAACGAGCCCAUUUACAGUGAGGUGAUGGGCUGUGAUCAGCAGAAGCACCUCAGCUUACCUUGGACCAGACUCUUCCUGGGGCUGGGGUGCCUGUGUUACCAUCACAUGUGUUCAUGAGGUUGGUGAAGCGUGUGUGAUCUCCCUCAUUGGGAUGGGACAAAACAGAGGAACAUUGCAAGCUUGUUUAUUGUCUGUGUUUCAAACUGGUAUUUUUUUAUUACAGAGACUCAUCAGGUUGCUCACACUGUGGCAGGAAUUUAAUAAGAUAGGGCACAGGGAACAUUCAGAGGUAAAAAAAAAAAAGGGUUCUCAGCCUGUGAGACUUAACUGUCCCUUUGUACCUGUCAGGGCCCUCUCUAUAAAGCAAAAUCCUUCUCUCUUCCCUCCCACCCGUCCCUUAAACCCAAAAAUCCACAACAAGAGAAAAAAUAUUUCAGCCUUUCCCUUGAGCGUGUGGCAAGCACACAUCUUUCUGAGCAGAAAUGUGCCUUCCAAGUGUGACACAGCUUCCCUGGGAGAGCAGGGCUGGAAUUUAAGCACAACCAAGGCAGGGGUGGGAAGUGCUCAGAGGCACCGUGAUUUGGGGAGAGCCAAGAGCUUUAUCUCAGCUACAGCAGAAUCACAACUGCAAGGUCAGGAACAGGCGGCCUCACCCAAUCUCCCUUUACAGCACAGAAAACACAACAGCAGUACAAUCAUUGAGUAACGGUAAAGCAC